rnacentral:rRNA from 1 species
AUUGAACGCUGGCGGCAUGCCUUACACAUGCAAGUCGAACGGUAACAGGUCUUCGGAUGCUGACGAGUGGCGAACGGGUGAGUAAUACAUCGGAACGUGCCCGAUCGUGGGGGAUAACGAAGCGAAAGCUUUGCUAAUACCGCAUACGAUCUACGGAUGAAAGCAGGGGACCGCAAGGCCUUGCGCGAACGGAGCGGCCGAUGGCAGAUUAGGUAGUUGGUGGGAUAAAAGCUUACCAAGCCGACGAUCUGUAGCUGGUCUGAGAGGACGACCAGCCACACUGGGACGGAGACACGGCCCAGAAUCCUACGGGAGGCAGCAGUGGGGAAUUUUGGAAAAUGGGCGAAAGCCUGAUCCAGCCAUGCCGCGUGCAGGAUGAAGGCCUUCGGGUUGUAAACUGCUUUUGUACGGAACGAAAAGACUCUGGUUAAUACCUGGGGUCCAUGACGGUACCGUAAGAAUAAGCACCGGCUAACUACGUGCCAGCAGCCGCCGUAA